UUGAACGCUGGCGGCAGGCCUAACACAUGCAAGUCGAGCGGUAGCACAGAGAGCUUGCUCUCGGGUGACGAGCGGCGGACGGGUGAGUAAUGUCUGGGAAACUGCCUGAUGGAGGGGGAUAACUACUGGAAACGGUAGCUAAUACCGCAUAAUGUCGCAAGACCAAAGUGGGGGACCUUCGGGCCUCAUGCCAUCAGAUGUGCCCAGAUGGGAUUAGCUAGUAGGUGGGGUAACGGCUCACCUAGGCGACGAUCCCUAGCUGGUCUGAGAGGAUGACCAGCCACACUGGAACUGAGACACGGUCCAGACUCCUACGGGAGGCAGCAGUGGGGAAUAUUGCACAAUGGGCGCAAGCCUGAUGCAGCCAUGCCGCGUGUGUGAAGAAGGCCUUCGGGUUGUAAAGCACUUUCAGCGGGGAGGAAGGCGAUAAGGUUAAUAACCUUGUCGAUUGACGUUACCCGCAGAAGAAGCACCGGCUAACUCCGUGCCAGCAGCCGCGGUAAUACGGAGGGUGCAAGCGUUAAUCGGAAUUACUGGGCGUAAAGCGCACGCAGGCGGUCUGUCAAGUCGGAUGUGAAAUCCCCGGGCUCAACCUGGGAACUGCAUUCGAAACUGGCAGGCUAGAGUCUUGUAGAGGGGGGUAGAAUUCCAGGUGUAGCGGUGAAAUGCGUAGAGAUCUGGAGGAAUACCGGUGGCGAAGGCGGCCCCCUGGACAAAGACUGACGCUCAGGUGCGAAAGCGUGGGGAGCAAACAGGAUUAGAUACCCUGGUAGUCCACGCCGUAAACGAUGUCGAUUUGGAGGUUGUGCCCUUGAGGCGUGGCUUCCGGAGCUAACGCGUUAAAUCGACCGCCUGGGGAGUACGGCCGCAAGGUUAAAACUCAAAUGAAUUGACGGGGGCCCGCACAAGCGGUGGAGUAUGUGGUUUAAUUCGAUGCAACGCGAAGAACCUUACCUGGUCUUGACAUCCACAGAACUUUCCAGAGAUGGAUUGGUGCCUUCGGGAACUGUGAGACAGGUGCUGCAUGGCUGUCGUCAGCUCGUGUUGUGAAAUGUUGGGUUAAGUCCCGCAACGAGCGCAACCCUUAUCCUUUGUUGCCAGCGGUUAGGCCGGGAACUCAAAGGAGACUGCCAGUGAUAAACUGGAGGAAGGUGGGGAUGACGUCAAGUCAUCAUGGCCCUUACGACCAGGGCUACACACGUGCUACAAUGGCAUAUACAAAGAGAAGCGACCUCGCGAGAGCAAGCGGACCUCAUAAAGUAUGUCGUAGUCCGGAUUGGAGUCUGCAACUCGACUCCAUGAAGUCGGAAUCGCUAGUAAUCGUAGAUCAGAAUGCUACGGUGAAUACGUUCCCGGGCCUUGUACACACCGCCCGUCACACCAUGGGAGUGGGUUGCAAAAGAAGUAGGUAGCUUAACCUUCGGGAGGGCGCUUACCACUUUGUGAUUCAUGACUGGGGUG
rnacentral:rRNA from 1 species